UCUGUGCCUGGCUUAUUUCAUUCAGCAUGAAAGUCUUCAAGGUCUAUGCAUGUUGUAGCAUGUGUCAGAGUCUCUUUCCUGUCAAAGCUGAAGGAUUCUCCAUUGUAUCGAUCUAACAUGUCUUGGAUCCAUUCACCUGUUAAUGGACACUUGAUUGCGUCCACCUUUCGGCUGUUGUGAAUACUGCUCUUAAAAACAUGGGAUGAACUCGUGAAUCUGUCCUCUUCAGAGAUAUAAGAAACUUCUGGUACUGAAGUUGCUGGUACAUUCCGCUUUGUCAAGGCAAAAAGCACUCUUGGUACGUUAGUGAUUUACGCUAAAACGUAAACAACAAAUGAAUCAAUGGAUCAUCUUGCAAAACCGCCACAGCUUGCAUGCUCAGCGAAUUGCUUUCCCUUUCUGAUAAAUGUGAAGCUGCUAAAUACACAAUGAAGUAUUUAUGAGUGAAAUGAAGUGCUGCAGAGAAUUUUCUUUAGAACACUCCACAAGAAAAAUGAGCAGGAGGAAAAGAUCAAGCAAAAACAACAGAAUGUAAACAAUCUUGAAGGUGGCUGGUGGGUCCACAGUGGUUCAAUAUAUACCACACUCUGUGCUUGUUUGAAAAUAUCCAUAAUACAAAGUCAAAAAAACCUUGGGAUCAGAAAUGAUGUAGUGGAACUGUAUGCAUCCUUAAUGACCCCCUCAGGACUCCUUCCCCUUCCCAAUCAACUAUAAUGGCGAGAAAUGAAUGAGGCUACAAGGCUAAAAAACGUAAUGCCUAAGAGAAACCAUGACAACCGAGCAUGAGUUUUGGCUCACAAGCAUGCAUCUUUUAUUAGCAAAUCCAAGCACUGCACAUGCAUACCAUU